rnacentral:rRNA from 1 species
GACGUAGGGCGCAAGCGUUGUCCGGAUUUAUUGGGCGUAAAGAGCUCGUAGGCGGCUUGUUGCGUCGUCCGUGAAAACCCCGCAGCUCAACUGCGGGCUUGCGGACGAUACGGGCAGGCUGGAGUUCGGUAGGGGAGACUGGAAUUCCUGGUGUAGCGGUGAAAUGCGCAGAUAUCAGGAGGAACACCGGUGGCGAAGGCGGGUCUCUGGGCCGAUACUGACGCUGAGGAGCGAAAGCGUGGGGAGCGAACAGG